rnacentral:rRNA from 1 species
UACGUAGGGUGCGAGCGUUAAUCGGAAUUACUGGGCGUAAAGCGUGCGCAGGCGGUUAUUUAAGUCAGGGGUGAAAGCCCUGGGCUUAACCUAGGAAUUGCGCUUGAGACUGGAUAGCUUGGAGUGCGGCAGAGGGAGGUGGAAUUCCACGUGUAGCAGUGAAAUGCGUAGAUAUCUGGAGGAAUACCGGUGGCGAAGGCGGCAUCCUGGACCGACAUUGACGCUGAGGAGCGAAAGCUAGGGGAGCAAACGGG